UACGUAGGGACCAAGCGUUGUUCGGAUUUACUGGGCGUAAAGGGCGCGUAGGCGGCUUUGCAAGUCCCAUGUGAAAUCCCACGGCUCAACCGUGGAAGUGCAUGGGAAACUGCAGAGCUUGAGUACUUAAGAGGAUCGCGGAAUUCCCGGUGUAGAGGUGAAAUUCGUAGAUAUCGGGAGGAACACCAGUGGCGAAGGCGGCUCACUGGACCGAGACUGACGCUGAGGCGCGAAAGCGUGGGGAGCAAACAGGG
rnacentral:rRNA from 1 species